rnacentral:lncRNA from 1 species
UCUCGCUCUGUUGCCCAUGCUGGAGUUCAAUGGCAACCUCUGCCUCCUGAGUUCAAGCUAUUCUCCUGCCUCAGCCUCCCGAGUAGCUGGGAUUACAGGCGCCCAGCACUGCUCCAGGCUAAUUUUUGUAUUUUUAGUAGAAAUGGGGUUUUGUCUUGUUGGCCAGGCGGGUUUCGAACUCCUGACUUCAGGUGAUCCACCUGCCUUGGCCUCCCAAAGUGCUGGAAUUACAGGCAUGAGCCACCGUGCCCAGCCAAAUAUUUUUUUAAAUCACUUUUAUUUAGUUUCCAUAAUAAAUAAAAGAAAGCUAUAAUCAAUAAUAGGUAUAUGUAGACAUAGAGUGUGGAAUAAUAGACAUUAGAGAUUCAGAAGGAGAGACGGAAAGGGGAUAAGGAAUGAGAAAUUACCUAAUAUAUCCAAUGUACAUUAUUCAGAUGAUGGUAACACUAAAAGCCCAGACUUCAGCACUAUGUAGCAAUAUAUCCAUAUAACGAAACUGCAUCUGUACCCCUUAAAUUUACACCAAUAAAAAUAAAUCACUUUUUAAAUUAUUACAUACCCAUGAAGGGUUCCACGUACUGUAAUUUUUCUUCUAAUGUGUGGUUGCUUCCAGUUUUCCUAAGAUGCGAUUAUUGUAGUUUCAGUUUUUUAAAGAUUUGUCUUCUCAGAACACAGAAUGCCUUUGUUAAUCCUAUUUAGAUAUCAUCAUAAAGAACUGUCUAAAUUUCUUACUAAACUAGUUGUAAGCUCACUGUUAAAAUUAUAAAAGUAAUAUCUUUCUCAUUAUGGAAAAUGUAGAAAAAUGUAAGAAGAAUAUAAAAAUUACCUAUGAUCUCACCAUUCAGGACAGACACUGUCAACAUUUGAUGAAUAUAUAUAUAUAUAUAUAUAUGAAUUAUCCUUUUUGUCGAUGCCAUUACAAAACUGGGAUCAUAUCAUAUUGUAGUUAUUUACUUACUUAUAAAGUGAUUUUCUUCCAGAAAUGUUUUAAUUUGGCUUAUAUAAAUACACACAAAAUAAAAUAAAAAACAAGUGGAAGAGAAAGGAGGAUGAUAGGAAAAAUGAGACUAGGGAAGGUAAGAGAAAGUCAGGUGUCACGUUAGUAUACAAUGCAUAAUGCACUCCAGUAUGUUUGGGAGAAGUGUAGCACACAUUCAGCUCUGAGUCUGCUGGCAGCAAAUGUUAAAAUCCAGGGCAUGAAUUCCUAGAGUCCAUAAAAUAUAUACUGCCAUGAAAUCGGUGAUACAUAGCUCUUGCUGACAGUCAGCCUAAGGAACUCUUCUCUCAAAUCAUAAUCAGUAGACAAAGAACAAGAUAGUGAACAAGAGCCUCCUUAAUGUUUUCCCAGUAAUUACAACACUCUCCUUCUUGGGGCUUGGGAGAAUAUCUUUGCAAAAUCCACAUCUGAUAAGGGGUUAAUAUUCAAAAUACACAAGGAACUUAAACAACUCAAUAGAAAGAAAACAACCCAGUUAAAGAUGGGCACAGGACCUGAAUAAAUAUUUCUUAAAACAUACAAAAGGCCAACAGGUAUAUGAAAAUAUGUUCAACAUCACUAAUCAUUAGAGAAAUACAAUCAAAAACACAAUGAGAUAGCAAAUUGCACCUGUUAGAAUGGCUGUUAUCAAAAAGACAAAGGAAGCUGAGGCAGGAGGAUUGCUUGUGCCCAGGCAUUUGAGGCUUCAGUAAGCUAUGAUCAUGCCACUGCACUCCAGCCUGGGCAACAGAGUGACACCAUAUCAAAAAAAAGAAAAAAAGAAAAAGAAAAAAGAAAAAAACUAGGACAAAAAAUAACAAGUAUUGGUGAGGAUGUGGAGAAAAGGUAACCCUUGCACACUGUUGGUGGGAGUUUAAAUUAUUAUACCCUUCGUGGAAAAAAGCAUGAAAGUUCUUCAAAAAAAUUAAAACUAGAAUUAACAUAUGAUCUAGCGUUCCUACUACUGCAUAUAUAUUCAAAGGAAAUGAAAUCUGUAUGUUGAAGAUACAUUUGCACUGCACUCGUAUUUAUUGCAGCAUUAUUCACAAUAGCCACGAUAAGAAAUGACAAGUAUCCAUUAACAGAUGAAUGGAUAAAGAAAAUGUGGUAUAUAUAUGCAAUGGUACACUAUUCUGCAAUAAAAAGGAAAGUAAUUUUGUGACUUGCAACAACAUGGAUGAACCUGGAGGACAUUAUAUUAUGUGAAAUCAUCCAUAUACAGAAAGACAAAUACUGCUUCAUCUCACUCACUUGUAGAAUCUAAAAAUUUUGAUCUGGUGGAAGUAGGGAGUAGAAUGGUGGUUGCCAGAGAAUUGGGCAAUGGUGGUUGGGAGUUGAGAAGAUGCUGGUCAAAGGAUCCAAAAUUUCAUAUAGAUAGGAGGAAUAAAUUCAAGAGAUCCAUUGUACAUCUUGGUGACUAUAGUUGGUGAUAUGGUUUGGCUCUGUGUCCCCACCCAAAUCUGGUGAAAUUGUAAUCCCCAGGUGUCAAGGGAGGGAACUGGUGGCAGGUGAUUGGAUUAUGGGGGCAGUUUCCCCAUGCUGUUCUCAUGAUGGCGAGUGAGUUUGCAUGAGAUCUGAUGGUUUAAAAGUGGCAGUUUCCUCUGUGUGCUUCCUCUCCCGCCACCUUAUUGAGAAGGUACUUGCUUCUCCUUACCCUUCCGCCAUUUGUAAGUUUCCUGAGGCCUCCCUAGCCAUGCAGAACUGUGAGUCAAUUAAGCCUCUUUUCUUUACAAAUUACCCAGUCUCAGGCAGUUCUUUAUAUCAAUGUGAAAACGGACUGAUACAGUUAGCAACGAUAUAUUGUGUUAUCGAAAAAUGCUAAAAGAGUAGAUUUUAAAUGUUCUCACCAGAAAAGUGACUUUGUGAAGUAAUAAUAUGUUAAUACUGCUUUUCACAAAUGUGUAUGCAUUUCAAAUCAUGUUGUAAGUGAUAAAAACGUACAGUUUUAUUCGUCAAUUUUAUUUGUCAAUUAAAGUAAAUAAAUAAAUAAUGUGUGGGACUGGUACCACAACGUCUAGGACAUAGGAGCUCUGUAUUAAGGGUUCCUGCUUUAUUACUUUACUUAUUGUCACUGCAUUAUACCUUUGCAAAAUAUAGUUUUCUGUUUCCAACCUAAAAAUCCUGAUUAAGCAACUGAAUUUGUCCUUGAAGAAAAAAUAACUGCUAGUAAUAUCAUCAGAAGCCAGACCCAAAAAGGCUUUAUAACACCUAUUUAAUCCUUUUAAAUGAAAAUGUAUUUAAAUAUAUAACUUCAUGUAUUCAUUUGAAAUAAGCUGCUAACUCUAAAUAUUUAAAUAUUCCCAACUACACUCCUGUAAAUUGUACAGAGCAAAUUUUAUUUUCUACCUAUCAUUAUUUUCUGCUGUAUUUCACACUUAAGCCAAUGCUCUGAUUUCAAUUUUACUAAAUAAAUAUUUGUGACUGGAGGUAUGUUUUCAAUCACCACCCUGGGUAAUAUGGUAAAUGUCAGUUGUCCCUAGUUCAAGUGGACUUUGAGACUAUAUUAUCUCUCAGCAGCUAUUCUUCUUUAGUAAAAUACCCUAAGAGAAGGUUGCAUAUUAAAAAACAAUGUAUUCUUCCUCAGGCAGAUUGAUGUUUUUUAUAGAAUAUAUUUGUAUUUUUACUUCUGUAUUUUUAUUCUCUUCUGCAGGCAAAGUGAUAAAUUUAAUAAAUAUUUAAAAACUCCAUCAAUUACCUCCUCUCCUGUAUAUUCAAUUGCUCUUUCUUUAUUCUCGUCAAUAUUGAAAUGGCUGCAGUAUCUUCUGUGUCUCUUGCCCUUAUUCACUCUCUCCUUACAAUUUGCAGCCAAAGAUCUUCCCACUAUCCUAUUACUCUAAGGGAGGAGACCACUCCUCAUGUUGUCUUAUGCGUAAUUUCCGCCUCCAAAGAAAGAAGAAGUAAAAACUAAAAGGCAAAAAUGAAAUCCACAAGCAGACAGCCCGGCGCCACACCCUGGGCCUGGUAGUUAAAUAUCAACCCCUGACCUAAUCGGUUAUAUUAUCCAUAGAUUACAGACAUUGUAUAGGGGAAAGCCCUGUGAAAAUCCCUGUCCUGUUUUCUUCUGAUCUAAUUACCGGGGCAUGCAGCCCCCAGUCAUGUACCCCCUGCUUGCUCAAUCGAUCACAACCCUCUCAAGCAGACCCCCUUAGAGUUG